rnacentral:rRNA from 1 species
AUUGAACGCUGGCGGCAUGCCUAACACAUGCAAGUCGAGCGGAGCGGCGGACGGGCGAGUAAUGCCUAGGAAUCUGCCUGGUCGUGGGGGAUUACGUCCGGAAAGGGGAGCUACUACCGCAUACUAUUAGAUGAGCUUAGGUCGCAUUAGCUAGUUGGUGGGGUAAAGGGCUACAAAGGCGACGAACCGUCACUGGUCUGAGAGGAUGAUGAGUCACACUGGAACUGAGACACGGUCCAGACUCCUACGGGAGGCAGCAGUGGGGAAUAUGGGAGAAUGGGCGCAAGCGUGAUCCAGCCAUGCCGAGUGUGUGAAGGAGGGCAUCAGAGUGUAAAGCACUGUAAGUUGGGAGGCGGUACCAAAAGAAGAAGCACCGGCUAACUUCGUGCCAGCCGCCGCGGUAAUAC